rnacentral:rRNA from 1 species
CCUACGGGAGGCAGCAGUGGGGAAUCUUGCGCAAUGGGCGAAAGCCUGACGCAGCCAUGCCGCGUGAAUGAUGAAGGUCUUAGGAUUGUAAAAUUCUUUCACCGGGGACGAUAAUGACGGUACCCGGAGAAGAAGCCCCGGCUAACUUCGUGCCAGCAGCCGCGGUAAUACGAAGGGGGCUAGCGUUGCUCGGAAUUACUGGGCGUAAAGGGAGCGUAGGCGGAUAGUUUAGUCAGAGGUGAAAGCCCAGGGCUCAACCUUGGAAUUGCCUUUGAUACUGGCUAUCUUGAGUAUGGGAGAGGUAUGCGGAACUCCGAGUGUAGAGGUGAAAUUCGUAGAUAUUCGGAAGAACACCAGUGGCGAAGGCGGCAUACUGGCCCAUUACUGACGCUGAGGCUCGAAAGCGUGGGGAGCAAACAGGAUUAGAUACCCUGGUAGUCCACGCUGUAAACGAUGAGUGCUAGUUGUCGGCAUGCAUGCAUGUCGGUGACGCAGCUAACGCAUUAAGCACUCCGCCUGGGGAGUACGGUCGCAAGAUUAAAACUUAAAUUGAAUUGACGGNGNGAGAGNGCGAGACGACGACGAGGAGAGG